rfam:Marine metagenome ctg_1101667327350, whole genome shotgun sequence.
GGUGGUAGACCCACCGAAGUCGGCAGUCGGAUGCAGGCUUCAAACCGGCCCAAGCUGCGCGCAUAAAGAGUGCGGGUAGUGAGCGUUGGGUGAAAAGGCCGUACAACAAUACGGUCAGGU